UCAAGAAACUUCCACAAUGGGCGAAAGCCUGAUAGAGCGACGUCGCGUGAUGGACGAAGUGCUUCGGCACGUAAACAUCUUUUUAUGUGGGAUGAAAUUAUUGACAGUACCACAUGAAUAAGGGGCUCCUAACUCUGUGCCAGCAGGAGCGGUAAUACAGAGGCCCCAAGCGUUAUCCGGAAUCACUGGGCGUAAAGGGUGUCGAGGCGGUUGUAUUAGUCGUUCGUAAAAUCUACGAGCUUAACUUGUAGGCGGCGAACGAAACGGUACGACUUGAGGUUUGGAGAGGUGCGUGGAACUCACGGUGUAGGGGUGAAAUCCGUUGAUAUCGUGGGGAACACCAAAGGCGAAGGCAGCGCACUGGCCAAAAUCUGACGCUCACACACGAAAGCUAGGGUAGCGAAGAGGAUUAGAUACCCUCGUAGUCCCUGAGCGGGCUGGCAAGGCGCAU
rnacentral:rRNA from 1 species